AGCGUGGAGACAGGUGGUGCAUGGCUGUCGUCAGCUCGUGUCGUGAGAUGUUGGGUUAAGUCCCGCAACGAGCGCAACCCUCACCCCUUGUUGCUACCAGGUAAAGCUGGGCACUCUAGGGGAACUGCCCCGGUCAACGGGGAGGAAGGCGGGGAUGACGUCAAGUCAUCAUGCCCCUUACGCCCUGGGCUACACACGUGCUACAAUGGCCGGUACAAAGGGAUGCAACGCCGUGAGGCAGAGCCAAACCCAAAAAGCCGGUCUAAGUUCAGAUUGGAGUCUGCAACUCGACUCCAUGAAGGAGGAAUCGCUAGCAAUCGCGUAUCAGCACGACGCGGUGAAUACGUUCCCGGGCCUUGUACACACCGCCCGUCACACCACGAAAGCCAGCUGUACUCGAAGUCGCUGAG
rnacentral:rRNA from 1 species